AUGGCGACCGGCGCACGGGUGAGUAACACGUAUCCAACCUGCCGAUAACUCGGGGAUAGCCUUUCGAAAGAAAGAUUAAUACCCGAUGGUAUAAUCAGACCGCAUGGUUUGAUUAUUAAAGAAUUUCGGUUAUCGAUGGGGAUGCGUUCCAUUAGGCAGUUGGUGAGGUAACGGCUCACCAAACCUUCGAUGGAUAGGGGUUCUGAGAGGAAGGUCCCCCACAUUGGAACUGAGACACGAUCCAA
rnacentral:rRNA from 1 species